rnacentral:rRNA from 1 species
UGGGGGAUAGCCCGGGGAAACCCGGAUUAAUAGCGCAUACUCCCUGAGGGGGAAAGCGGGCUCCGGCUCGCGCUAUUGGAUGGGCCCAUGUCGGAUUAGUUUGUUGGUGAGGUAACGGCUUACCAAGGCGACGAUCCGUAGCUGGUCUGAGAGGAUGAUCAGCCACACCGGGACUGAGACACGGCCCGGACUCCUACGGGAGGCAGCAGUGGGGAAUAUUGGACAAUGGGGGCAACCCUGAUCCAGCCAUGCCGCGUGUGUGAAGAAGGCCUUUGGGUUGUAAAGCACUUUCAGCAGGGAGGAAAAGCUUGGUCGUUUGUACCAGCCAGAGUGGACGGUACCUGCAGAUGAAGCACCGGUUAACUCCGUGACAGCAGCCGCGGUUAUACGGAGGGUGCAAGCGUUAAUUGGAAUUACUGGGGGUAAAGGGCGCGUAGGCGGUUUGAUAAGCGGGUUGUGAAAGCCCCGGGCUCAACCUGGGAAUUGCAAUCCGAACUAUCAGGCUAGAGUGCAGCAGAGGGCAGUGGAAUUCCCGGUGUAGCGGUGAAAUGCGUAGAUAUCGGGAGGAACACCAGUGGCGAAGGCGACUGCCUGGGCUGACACUGACGCUGAGGUGCGAAAGCGUGGGUAGCAAACAGGAUUAGAUACCCUGGUAGUCCACGCUGUAAACGUUGAGAACUAGUCGUUGGGGCUAUUAGAGCCUUAGUGACGCAGCUAACGCGAUAAGUUCUCCGCCUGGGGAGUACGGCCGCAAGGUUAAAACUCAAAUGAAUUGACGGGGGCCCGCACAAGCGGUGGAGCAUGUGGUUUAAUUCGACGCAACGCGAAGAACCUUACCUGGUCUUGACAUCCUGCGAACUUGCUAGAGAUAGCUUGGUGCCUUCGGGAGCGCAGUGACAGGUGCUGCAUGGCCGUCGUCAGCUCGUGUCGUGAGAUGUUGGGUUAAGUCCCGUAACGAGCGCAACCCUUGUCCUCAGUUACCAGCACUUCGGGUGGGCACUCUGGGGAGACUGCCGGUGACAAACCGGAGGAAGGUGGGGAUGACGUCAGGUCAUCAUGGCCCUUACGGCCAGGGCUACACACGUGCUACAAUGGGGCGUACAGAGGGCAGCAAGUGCGCGAGCGCAAGCGAAUCCCUUAAAGCGUCUCUCAGUCCGGAUCGGAGUCUGCAACUCGACUCCGUGAAGUCGGAAUCGCUAGUAAUCGCAGAUCAGAAUGCUGCGGUGAAUACGUUCCCGGGCCUUGUACACACCGCCCGUCACACCAUGGGAGUGGACUGCACCAGAAGCGGUUAGUCUAACCUUCGGGAGGACGAUCGCCACGGUGUGGUU